CCUACGGGCGGCAGCAGUGAGGAAUAUUGGUCAAUGGACGAGAGUCUGAACCAGCCAAGUAGCGUGAAGGAUGACUGCCCUAUGGGUUGUAAACUUCUUUUAUAUGGGAAUAAAAUGUUCCACGUGUGGGAUUUUGUAUGUACCAUAUGAAUAAGGAUCGGCUAACUCCGUGCCAGCAGCCGCGGUAAUAAGGAGGAUCCGAGCGUUAUCCGGAUUUAUUGGGUUUAAAGGGAGCGUAGGGGGAUUGUUAAGUCAGUUGUGAAAGUUUGCGGCUCAACCGUAAAAUUGCAGUUGAAACUGGAAGUCUUGAGUACAGUAGAGGUGGGCGGAAUGCGUGGUGUAGCGGUGAAAUGCUUAGAUAUCACGAAGAACUCCGAUUGCGAAGGCAGCUCACUGGACUGCAACUGACACUGAGGCUCGAAAGUGUGGGUAUCAAACAGGAUUAGAUACCCCAGUAGUC
rnacentral:rRNA from 1 species